rnacentral:lncRNA from 1 species
CUGAUCACCGUUGGUUUCUCUUCUCUUCUUUUGGGUUUCUUUGCUUUGAGGAUGGAGGUCUGGUAGUCUAGUUUUCUCAGCUUUGUUUCUGUUAGUUAGUUACUACUUUUUAGUUUUGGGGUUCUGGGUCUGACGGCCCUUGAUGGGUUUAAUCAAUAAUAGUUAAUUUGUGAAUACAUCUUAAUUUACUUUAACUAAUCCUCAGGUUUGGUGUUAUUCGAUAUGUUGACGGUCACAUUUAAGUUGUGUUUGUUUGCUGUGGCCGUAACAUAUUUGGGGGCUCGUCAAACGGUCAGGUGUGUAGAUCUCUAGAGUGUGGUUGUGAUUUGGUGAAUACCUUGGUUGUGGCGUUGUGUGAUGAGGCCUUCCUGAAGGGUGUGUUGUCAGUAACUACACUGCAACACACAGACAUUAUACAUUUAUAGUAAUGGAGAAUAUAAAAAUGUGAGCUGAUGAUGUUACUGGAUAAAAACGUAUCAAAGUCAGUAGGAUUCAUCCUCUGAGGAACAUGAACGUCUGAACCAACGAUCCACAGAGACACUCUGCUAGUGGGUCUAAAAAGGACAUAAAAGAAGAGACAGUCAUGUUAAUAUGAACAUUAGAGAAACACAUCAUGGAGCUGGAAUAUGAUACUGGUUAAUAAUUUGGACUGGUUCACCUCAGCAGACACAUUCAACAGCUGACAGGUUUUUGUAUCACUCAGUUUCACUGUGGGAGGUGGAUGGGUACUAGUGAUCUUUGGCUCUGGAACUAAACUGAUUGUAUCAGAUGAGCCGGUAGUGAAGCCCGUGGUGAGCGUGUACCCAGCAGCAUCCAGAGCCCACCUGGAGGGGAAGAGCUCCCUGCUGUGUCUGGCCUCAGCCAUGUUUCCUCCUCUGGUCCAGUUCUCCUGGAAAAGACGAAAGGAGAAUGGUCCUCUGGAGGAUCUGCUCCCUGAUGAGGGAGAGCAGCUGGAGAUCAGAGAGUCAGGACGCACCGCCUCCAUCUUGCUGAUCCAUCAGCAAGUUAACAGCACAUAUAAAUACCGCUGUGAGGUCCAACAUGAGGGGGGACCAGUGGAGGCCCACACAGAACAAGAGGUUCCAGCUCCAGCAGCCUCCUGUCCUCCAGAGAGAGAUCCACCAGACCAGCUAGCUCUGGAGGAAGCUGACUGUAAGAUCACCUGCUCACUCUCCUUCAAUAACCUUUUACACUUCAGCUUCUGUUUUCAAUGUCAACACUUACAGUCACUGUCCUGGCUCCAUAACUGAAAAGCUUGGUAGAGAUUUGACUUGUUUGUUUUUAAUAGGGGCCUUUGAACUUUCAUGUAAAUUGUAGCCGACCCCCGUCUUUAUGUGAAGGUGGUUGUCCCGUCUGGAAACGUCCAAGUUAUACUGAUGAAAAUCUGAAGAUGUUCUGAUGAAAUAUAUAUAGUAGAACAUACUGAAAACUGUGUGUGUGUGUGUGUGUGUGUGUGUGUGUGUGUGUGUGUGUGUGUGUGUGUGUGUCAGUGUCCUUCCAGUUUCAGUGCAGGGUGAAGUUGUUCUGUCUGCUGUACACACAGCUGAUAGUGAAGAGUCUGGUGUACUGCUGUGGACUCUCUCUGCUGAUGAUCCUCAGAAACAAGGGACCGUCCACCAACUGAACACAUGCUGACUGACUGUUUUCUGCUCGACUUUUCUCGCCAUCAAAUCUCAUCAAUUCAUCUCAUUUAUCACUUUAAUCACUAUUCACAAAUAUCAAUUAUGACGUGUUGUAGUUGUCAUCUGAACCAUAUAAAUACAUAUAUAUCUUAGCAGUUAUUAACUUUAAAUUCUGUGGUGUUUUUAGAUACUUUAGUUUAUUUCUACUUUUAAUUGUGACUUGUAUAAUGAUAAUUUGAAUAAUCAGCUGUCUGGUAGAUAUUUCAUAGUUC